rnacentral:rRNA from 1 species
GAUGAACGCUGGCGGCGUGCCUAAUACAUGCAAGUCGAGCGAACGGACGAGAAGCUUGCUUCUCUGAUGUUAGCGGCGGACGGGCGAGUAACACGUGGAUAACCUACCUAUAAGACUGGGAUAACUUCGGGAACCCGGAGCUAAUACCGGAUAAUAUUUUGAACCGCAGGGUUCAAAAGUGAAAGACGGUCUUGCUGUCACUUAUAGAUGGAUCCGCGCUGCAUUAGCUAGUUGGUAAGGUAACGGCUUACCAAGGCUACGAUGCAUAGCCGACCUGAGAGGGUGAUCGGCCACACUGGAACUGAGACACGGUCCAGACUCCUACGGGAGGCAGCAGUAGGGAAUCUUCCGCAAAGGGCGAAAGCCUGACGGAGCAACGCCGCGUGAGUGAUGAAGGUCUUCGGAUCGUAAAACUCUGUUAGUAGGGAAGAAGAUAUGUGUAAGUAACUGUGCACAUCUUGACGGUACCUAAUCAGAAAGCCACGGCUAACUACGUG